rnacentral:lncRNA from 1 species
GUGCAGUCUCACUGUCGCGGCCCCAGCCGCAGAGCGCUUCCGCGGGCGCACCGACGCAGGGCCAGAGAUCGGGAGGAUCUCAGCGUGCACUCUCAGUGAUCUGUUAUUACUUUGUCAAUCAAAGCCAAUCAAGCGUCCUCCUGCCCGCCUUUGACCAAGAAGCAAGAGUGUUGAGCCGCAGAACACCAAGUGGAAGAUUAGCAACGGCUGCCACCCCCCUGCAUUUGCCGAUGGAUUAUUAACUUCAGAAAGACACGUAUGACUUUCGAAAAACAUCUCUCCUGAACAAAGGUAAAUAAUACGAUCGCCCAAGAUGUUUUCAGAUAUCUGUCCUGCUGCCCUUUCA